UACUUAUCACAAUUUACAACUUAUUUCAACUUUUGCUAUGCUAGCUCAGUACUAUAUAUAUAUACAUAAAUAUAUCUAUAUACUGUAUAUGGUAUAUCUACCUUUUUGCCUUCUCUCCCUUUUAACUAUGCUGUUCCUUUUGCUCUUUCUUGGGUGUGUUCCAAAAUUUUCUUUUGGUGGAAAAAGUUUCCAGGAAAAUGCGUGCAAGGAAAAGAAAGUUGCAAUCCAGAAUGUUUAAUCAUCUUGGGGCCCACUUUGACGAAGUUCCAUGAACUGCUCACUGAAUUUAAAGAAGAAUUUGGCAACAAAGGCAAGGGGACGGUCAUAAAUCAUAAAUCAAAGCAUUGGCCGAAAAGCGGAAUUACAGCACUCCCAAGUAAGUAUUUUUUAUCGGAAUUAAAAUAUUUUCAACAUGGCUUUGUUUCUAUUUUCAAAACAACUCUCUUUUGGUAUGUAUGGAUUCACAUUAUUAAAUUUUGCGGGUGUGACAAUUAAGACACGCUAUUUCAUAAAUUAUUUCCCCUUUCAUUUCUGAUUUUA